UACGUAGGGGGCAAGCGUUAUCCGGAUUUACUGGGUGUAAAGGGAGCGCAGACGGAACUGCAAGUCUGAUGUGAAAGCCCGGGGCUCAACCGCGGGACUGCAUCGGAUACUGUAGAUCUGGAGUGCCGGAGGGGCAAGCGGAAUUCCUGGUGUGGCGGUGAAAUGCGUAGAUAUCAGGAGGAACACCGGCGGCGAAGGCGGCUUGCUGGACGGCAACUGACGUUGAGGCUCGAAAGCGUGGGGAGCAAACAGGAUUAGAUACCCGGUA
rnacentral:rRNA from 1 species